rnacentral:rRNA from 1 species
UACGUAGGGUGCGAGCGUUAAUCGGAAUUACUGGGCGUAAAGCGUGCGCAGGCGGUUCGCCAAGUCAGGUGGGAAAUCCCCGGGCUUAACCUGGGAAUUGCGCUUGAAACUAGCGGGCUUGAGUGUGGCAGAGGGGGGUGGAAUUCCACGUGUAGCAGUGAAAUGCGUAGAGAUGUGGAGGAACACCGAUGGCGAAGGCAGCCCCCUGGGUCAACACUGACGCUCAUGCACGAAAGCGUGGGGAGCAAACAGG